rnacentral:tRNA from 1 species
GGGCCUGUGGUCUAGUUGGUUAGGACGUCCGCUUGACGUGCGGGAGAUCGGCGGUUCGAAUCCGCCCGGGCCCA